GCUCUCUACCUGCUUAAUUAAUGAUGAUGAGUCCUUAAACUUCAAAUGUGAUCACUAUUGGCGUUAACUAAUAUCAAUAAAGAUGACAGUAAUGUCAACAUGCUAAACCAGAUUGGAAAUGAAAUCAGAACAGACAUCAAAUGUACACUUCCAAACCAAUUACAAGUACCCUACUUUUAUAUUCCUAUCCAGUGUACCAUGAAACUAAUAUUAAAUCACAUUAUGUCUAUGCUAGCAAACAUCAAUUAAAAGCCUUAAGCAAUCCAAUUUAAAUCAGCUAGCAUGGGAGUUUAAGCAUUCUCUACUUCAUGACUACUAAAUGGAAUAAACAUCAAAUUCACAGUCAUAUAUACAGUCCGAUUUCCAGGUUCAUGCUUAAUUACAUUCAUGAAAUCGACUAAAUUAUACAAAAUCAUUCACUCGAAUAACAGUAUCAAACAAUAGAUCUAAAGUAACAACUUCAGUUCCAUUUCAUUUUCAUGCAGGGAAUCUACAUUGAAACAAGCUCAAAUGUAUACCUGGAUAAGGGAAAUAUGAGAAGAAAAAGAGGUAAGUAGUAACUUCGAACAGCCAUCAGCAAACACCACAGCAAUACGCCUUCAGAACUGAGCUUAAAUGCCUUUGGAAUUCCACCAAGGUACAAUAACCAGAAAAAUCAACUCGAGCAGACCCAAACCUAUUCAACUAGUCAUUAAAUACCUCUAAAAUGCUUUUAAAACUCGAAAUUAGAUCAGAAAUGGAGAAGUCCAAAUAGGAAUUGAAAAUGAACAAGCUAAGUAAUGGAACAGUAAGCCUUUUUUGAUUUUUUGUUUGUUUUCUAAUUUUUUUUUUUUGAAUAACUGAAUUUCAAACUUGGAUCUGAAAUCUAAAAUGGAGGGGGAGCUAUUGGAAGAGACUGUUUUUUACCGUUCCAAAAGAGACCCCUUCACCAAGGCAUUUGAGUGCCCUUUUAUAGGCACCAAAGAGGUGAGCAAUCAAAUUUUGGAUUUUUCUUAUAGUCCCUCCCUAUUUUCAACUAUUAAACCCCUUAUUUGUUGACUUGUGACUCAAGCAGGUAUACUCAUUCUCUGAGAUUCUAAUUCUACACCCUCUCCAGAAGCUUAUGACGUAUUUUAGCUAAAGUCCAUACCCAUACAUUCCCCAAUUGCCAUUAGUUUAUCCUAAAAUUACUAGUUUAGUACAACUACUCCCAAACCAAUCCUAGGAUAUGAAUUUCAACUAAAAAAACGUACUCCUAAUUCAAUUAUUAACUAACCUAUCUAUUAAAACCAUUUAACAGCAACAAUCUUCAAAAUUAAUCACAAACUGAAACUUAAUCGGAAUAAACGAUAUUUAAAUGUUCAUUAACUAACAGACUCAUAAGUCGUCAAACAGAAAAAUUAAGGCAAAACCAACCAUUAAUCGAAAAAUAAACCAACACCUAUAAAAUAAGAUGACUCAGCAAAUAAGAACGAAUUUAAAACGGGCUUGAAGAAACUUAAUGACUUUCGGAUUAAUAAUUAUUACUAAACAAUUCUAAAAAACCAAACUGUCAUGCAAAGCAAAAAUCAACAGCAAGAAAAAUAAAGAAAAGAAACUAGUGAACUUACUGGCUUAUCUUCAGGAAACCAAUCAAUUUUCAAAGAUCGCAUUCAGCCAACUCCGGUAAAAAUUUGCCCCUAAUGGUAACAAAUUCCUCAUGAGGGAAGCCUAGAGACCCAAUGGUAUCAAUUUUGAGCGAUUUAGGGCAGUUAGGGUUUUGAGUUUAAAAUUGAUAUUCGAACAUUACCGGCCAUGUUCGAGGGACGAGGUUAGGGGGUUGGGUAGAGGAGGCUCAGCAAUCUAAUGGUGUUAAUUUGGUUGAUUUGGAUGAAGUUGCGUCGUGGCCGGAAAAACUUCGAUCCGAUAUUUGAAGCUUUUGACCGUGAUUUGAAGUAAAUGAUUGGUUAUGGAUUUGGGAUGAGGGGAGUCAAGAGUGUUAUCUUUGGGUCGAUUGGAGACGGUGGUGUUCGCCGGCGGUGGCGGUUCCGGCAGAGUCGCAGAGAAGGUACGAGGAAGGAGGAGAUUGUCUUAAGGUUAAAAAA
rnacentral:lncRNA from 1 species